AAAGCUAUGUGCGUGGCAAAUGGAUCCUUCUUUUUAAUAUAUAUAUAUAUAUUUCGAGAAUGAAGACAGAAGAUUAGGCGUCUUGAAGAAACCUUUGUCUAGGCAACGAGCUCUGAACAAAUGAAACCACUGUCUGCAGAGGGCCAGGGGAAGCUAAUGCCACCCCGUCAUGCGAUAGUCAAUUUGUACCGUCAUAAACUAUGAACCUGGAAAAUAAAAUAAAAUGCAUUUCUGAGAA